UUGGCGUGCUUGUCUUCCCGCCCCUUCUCAUUUAAAAAAAACCCCAAACAAACAAAAAAAGGUUUGCCACUCACCACUUAAACACGGGCACCUGCUUGUCAAUGGAUAAACUCUAGGCCUAAUCUAUCAAGGUACGAUGUGUGUUUAAUUUUAUAUUAGCCGAGUUACUGCUGCUUUUAUCUAACUGAAUAUUUUUUUCAACGCGACGCGGCUGGCGGACCGGCGGGAGACUCGUGAAGACGAAAAGCCGCGUAACAAUACUUUAAAUAGGUAUGAAUCUGAGGAGUCUGCACAGGCCUAGGAAUAUCAUUUUAUCCUGAUCUAUUCAAGGAAACCUCGAGCCUAGUGAGCUGCCCAUGGAGGGAGUAUUUUAAGGCAUCAUCUGCACAAAGUGUGUUCCAAAAGGUUGAGGGGGUUAGAAGCAUGAUCCAAGUCUCUGGCAAAAGAAGGCUGGCAGCAGUUGAGACCAGAUGCAACUAGACUUGGACCCAACCCUCUGGCAGGCAGCAUUGGGAAUCAGUGGGAGAACUAAAAACAGCAUGUGAAUUCAAAGUCAUGUGGAUGAAGGACAAGAUGUCACUGAGCAAAAAGCAUUUGUACAUGAUGAGCUUGACAGCCUCAAUCCUCAUUCACUUUCAUUACAUGGAAAAGAGUAGGUAGGAAAAUCACCUAUAAACUCAACAUUUCGUGUUCCAUGGAAGAUAGAAAGUCAAACGGUCUGGAAAGACGUGGGGAAGGAGUCUGACAACAGCCAGUGCUCCACACAGAGAUCUGAUCAUCAUCCAGUCUGUCUGGAAUGACAUGAAGAAACAGAACAAACUGAGACAGAUUAAAUAAAAAAAAAUACAAUUUUAUGAAUAUAAUUUCAACUUCAU